rnacentral:rRNA from 1 species
GUGAGUAACACGUGGAUAACCUACCUAUAAGACUGGGAGUAACUUCGGGAAACCGGAGCUAAUACCGGAUAAUAUAUUGAACCGCAUGGUUCAAUAGUGAAAGACGGUUUUGCUGUCACUUAUAGAUGGAUCCGCGCCGCAUUAGCUAGUUGGUAAGGUAACGGCUUACCAAGGCAACGAUGCGUAGCCGACCUGAGAGGGUGAUCGGCCACACUGGAACUGAGACACGGUCCAG